CCAGAAUCAUCAGCACCCUGCGUGGUCCUGGCCAACAGCUGAGCACAUCUGGUACAUCAUCAGAACCUCUACUGGCUGGGACCACAGAAAGCAGAGAAGGGCCAAGCUGCCAAUGGGUAGCUAUCCCGGAUAUUGAGAACGGCACCUUAAAGAUGAGGCCAGGAGCCUGGAGGCCAUGCACGUGACAGCCCUUGUGCUGAAGUGGGAAGAGGCAGUGUGAACUCCAGAGGGCUCACAGGACUCCUGGCCAUGGGCACAGUGAUGAUUCUCCAAAACUGCAAAGAAUGAAAAAUCUUCCCUUCUGAACGCGUCGAGCAGCUUUUGCUGGAGAUGCACCGGGCCCCUGUUAGAAGAAGAUGGCUCCUCUCUGGAAGGGAUGGGAGCUUUGGUUAUAACGAGGGGACGUAAGUCUUUGGCCUCAGGCCUGCCAGGCCCUGCCUCUGCAAACAAGGGAAUGGGCGCCGAUGGAGGCCCCAACAGCCGAUCAUUUGGUGCGGAGCCGUCGGAGUGCAGGCCCAUCCAGCAGGAGAGAAGAGUCAUUUAG
rnacentral:lncRNA from 1 species